AUGUCUCGUUGUCAUUUGGCUGAACAACUCACUAGCGAUGUAUCAUUUACACAAAUUAGUUCAUUAUUCAAGCUUGUCUUUUCAAACAUGCUUUUUUUUACAGAAAUUAGCAUUGAGAAUCUAGAGUCUCAUUCACAGUCCAGUGAAGUUCUUGGAAAAAUUUUCUCUGACUUCCGUGAGACUCUGAGAGAACAAAGUAGCAACUUUUGGGGAAAAAAAACCCCACCAACAAAAGAGCAGGCAAGCAAGUGGCUAAACAUUCGCUACAGAAAAAACCCUCGCGAUUGCAUGAUAGUACAGAAUCAGAACCUGAUUUAGUGGAUUUUGAAGGACAGAGCUGGAUUCAAAGAUGAAAACUACAUGAACUGCUCCUCUGUACCCUAAGAAUACGAAAACAUAAUGCAACCCUAUUACUCAGCGAAGAUCUGUUCAUUGGAAAACCACUGAGAAAAUAAUGAGAGGGGAAGAACCAGAGGAGGAGGAAAAGGUGAGAGGAAAAGAGAAAGAGGGCAAGAGAGAGCAAAAAGGAAAAGGGAAUUUGCUUUUGAUGUCACAGUUCUAUCAACUCAUGCAUUUUUCAUGGAUACCAACUAGUUCUAAAAUAAUGCUGUGCUGACAAUCCAAGCAUUAAAAAAAUCACCCAAGUUCCCAAAUAGCAUGAUACGGGCUUAAAAAUAAUGACUUUUAAAAAAGUAUACACCAAGGGCUUCUAUUUCCCUUCUGAUUUAUGAGCCUUGCAGGCUCACAUAUUAAAACCUUCCUCUCAGACCUGAGGUAGAGAAAUGUAAUUGUUUUUAAUGAAAACUGAGGUUCCCGUUUAAUGACAUCUGCUGAAGAGCAAGAGCUUAAAAAAAACCUAAACGUUGCAAAACUUGCACUGUAAUCAUAGAGCUGGCAACACUAAAUGUCACAACCCUAGCCUGCUGUGUGGCUUUGAUGCAAAACUAGCUAAAAAUUACAAGAGACGUUAGAUACGUUAAAAGAGCGUUAACUAAAUUUGCACUUAUGCUCUUUGCUAGAAAUUAACUUAAAACUGAAAGUGAAGAUAUCUCACAAAUGAAAAUAAACUGGUAGGAAUUAGAGGGACUUAUGCA
rnacentral:lncRNA from 1 species